GACGAACGCUGGCGGCGUGCUUAACACAUGCAAGUCGAACGGAAAGGCCCUGCUUUUGUGGGGUGCUCGAGUGGCGAACGGGUGAGUAACACGUGAGUAACCUGCCCUUGACUUUGGGAUAACUUCAGGAAACUGGGGCUAAUACCGGAUAGGAGCUCCUGCUGCAUGGUGGGGGUUGGAAAGUUUCGGCGGUUGGGGAUGGACUCGCGGCUUAUCAGCUUGUUGGUGGGGUAGUGGCUUACCAAGGCUUUGACGGGUAGCCGGCCUGAGAGGGUGACCGGCCACAUUGGGCCUGCGAUACGGCCCAGACUCGUACGGGAGGCAGCAGUGGGGAGUAUUGCACAAUGGGCGGAAGCCUGAUGCAGCAACGCUGCGUGCGGGAUGACGGCCUUCUGGUUGUAAACCGCUUUGUCCUGUGACGAAGCGUGAGUGACGGUAAUGGGUAAAGAAGCACCGGCUAACUACGUG
rnacentral:rRNA from 1 species